UGUCUUUUUGAAAAUAAUAUAAAGUCUAAUCUGCCCACUGAUUUUAUAUUAAAGGGCUGCAGUAUUUUGACUGUACAAAGGUAGCAUAAUCAUUAGUCAUUUAAUUGAUGACUUGUAUGAAAGAUUGGAUGAAAUAUAAACUGUCUCUUAAUUAUUUAUAUAAAAUUUAAUUUUUUAAUUAAAAAGUUAAAAUAAUUUAAAAAGACGAGAAGACCCUAUAGAGUUUUAUAUUUAAAUUAAUUAAGAUUAUUUAAAAUUUAAAAUUAAAAUUAAUUUAUUUAUUAUAUUGGGGUGAUAGAAAAAUAUAUAUAACUUUUUUUUAUGUAAAACAUUUAUAAGUGAUUAGAUGAUCCAAUAAUAUUGAUUAUAAGAAAAAGUUACCUUAGGGAUAACAGCGUAAUUUUUUUUUUUAGUUCACAUAAAAAAAAGAGUUUGCGACCUCGAUGUUGGAUUAAGAUAAAAUUUAAAUGUAGAAG
rnacentral:rRNA from 1 species